rnacentral:misc_RNA from 1 species
GGAUGGCCCACUCUGGAGAGAUAAACUCACAUGGUCAUUGUAUGUUAGCAGCCAAUAAACACUCCCUUGUAGGUCAUAAUCGAACCACCUCGGCACCCAGCACACUAUCUAAUUCAAACUUUUCACCGACAAUUCCUGGUGAUGGAAAUGAAGUGUUCUCAAUGUCAGCAGCAGCUGCGACUGAUGCGUGUGAUGUAUCAGAAUCCCAACCUGCUGCUCCAUUGUCUGUUCUACAAGGGGAGCCGGAAUUCCCAUCCAUGCCAGAGACAAGAGUUCGAAAUCAAUCCAUCUGGCUUAGACCUUCUGAGAGAUUUCCUAGAAUAGUUUCUUCUGCUACGGUUGAAAGAAGGGCUGAUCUUUUGGAACUUGAGGAGCAAGUUAGGAAGCUGGUUCAGGAUUUGAGUAGCAAUUCCAUUGAUGUGCAAAGAGAUGCCACAGCUGAACUCCGGUUACUUGCCAAGCACAAUAUGGAUAAUCGUAUUGUAAUGGCAAAUUGUGGUUCCAUCAACUUGUUGGUCAACUUACUUCAUUCAGAAGAUAUGAAUGUACAGGAAAAUGCUGUUACCACACUUCUCAACUUAUCAAUUAAUGACAACAACAAGUGUUUGAUUGCAAAUGCUGAUGCAAUUGAACCUCUGAUUCAUGUCCUACACACAGGGAGUGGUGAGGCUAAAGAAAACUCGGCUGCUACACUUUUUAGCCUUUCUGUUAUUGAGGAUAACAAGAUGAAGAUUGGGAGGUCUGGUGCUAUCAAGCCUCUUGUGGAUUUAUUGGGAAAUGGAAGUCCUAGGGGCAAGAAAGACGCAGCGACAGCUUUGUUUAAUUUGUCAAUACUUCAUGAAAACAAGGGUCGCAUUGUGCAGGCUGGUGCUGUUAAGUUCCUUGUAGAGUUGAUGGACCCUGCUGCUGGGAUGGUUGACAAGGCUGGUGCUGUUAAGUUCCU